UACGUAGGUGGCGAACGUUAUCCGGAAUUACUGGGCGUAAAGGGUCUGUAGGCGGUCUUAAAGGUCUGGCGUGACAAUUCUCGGCUUAACUGAGAGAGUGCGUUGGAAACCGGAAGACUAGAAUCACGUCGAGGUCGGUGGAAUUCCCGGUGUAGUGGUGGAAUGCGUAGAGAUCGGGAGGAACACCUGUGGCGAAGGCGGCCCCCUGGGCCGGCCCUGACGCUGAGACGCGAAGGCGUGGGGAGCGAACGGG
rnacentral:rRNA from 1 species